rnacentral:Y_RNA from 1 species
GGUUGGUCCAAGUGCAGUGGUGUUUACAACUAAUUGAUCACAACCAGUUACAGAUUCCUUUGUCCCUUCUCCACUCCCACUGCUUCACUUGACAAAAAAA